rnacentral:tRNA from 1 species
GGACUGUGGCUCAGUGAUAGAGCGCUUGCCUAGCAUGUGUGAGGCACUGGGUUCAAUCCUCAGCACCA